UACAGAGGUCUCAAGCGUUGUUCGGAUUCAUUGGGCGUAAAGGGUGCGUAGGUGGCGGGGUAAGUCUGGUGUGAAAUCCUGGGGCUCAACCCCGGAACUGCACUGGAUACUGCUUUGCUAGAGUACUGGAGAGGGAACUGGAAUUCAUGGUGUAGCAGUGAAAUGCGUAGAGAUCAUGAGGAAGACCAGUGGCGAAGGCGGGUCUCUGGACAGUUCCUGACACUGAGGCACGAAGGCCAGGGGAGCAAACGGG
rnacentral:rRNA from 1 species